rnacentral:tRNA from 1 species
GGGGAUUUGGCUCAGUGGUAGAGUGUUUGCCUAGCAAGCGCAAGGUCCUGGGUUCGGUCCCCAGCUCCG